AACCAUAGAAACCUGCGGAGUACCUGGGAAGGAUCAUUAUAGUAUAUGGAAUCUCCAUUCUAUAAACCCACUCUGCGUAUCUUGUAACUGUUGCUUCCAUGGGACUUGGUUCCGCCACACCGGCUUCACGGCUGGUGAGCGCCCAUGGAAGGAGAAACAAAACUCUUCUUUGAAAUGUAGUCAGUCUGAACAAGUUUUUAUAAACGUUAAAACUUUCAACAAUGGAUCUCAGAUCGGAAG
rnacentral:misc_RNA from 1 species